GUUAGACAUAGCAACAGUGCUGGAGGAUUCUUUCCAAGGAAGCUCUUCAUGAGACUUCUGUCUGGGACAGGGCUCAGGGCUGCAGGGAGAACUGCAGAGUAAAACACCUGUAGAGGCAAAUUCAAAUCUAAACUACAAGGUCCAUCACUUAGAUGUUACAUCAAAGGAAGAAAGGGUCCAGCAAGUAGCAAAUUGAGAGCUUCUUCCGCAUGUGUUCCAAACCUCAUCUGCCAGUGAAACACACACCAGCAUGUCAAAGUAUUUUCUAGCAUCAGUUGCUGCAAUACCAUUCUGUGUGAAAAUGGAGGUGAUUAUGUUCCUCUAAGGGAACUAAGAGAUACUUUUAUGGCUUGGACUUGAAGCUAUUCUUAUGAUCCAGAGCCUCUCAUUAAGUUAGUACUUGU